rnacentral:tRNA from 1 species
GAGGUUGUGGCUCGGUGUAGAGCACUCACCUAGCACAUGUGAGGCCCUGGGUUCGAUCCUCAGCACCUCA